GCUGUACAGUCUGUCUAUAAAGUCGUGACAUGAAUGUUUGAGGAACUAACAUUAUUCAUGUGUCUGGCAACACCAAAGUUCACCAAACAUAUGUACAUCAGCUGUCAUCGAGAACAAGUUGUGGAACGAUUUUCAUUUUGUGGUUUUUAUUGUUUGACUAAUCUCCAGUAAAUUAUUACUCAGCUACGAAGAAAAGUAUAAACAAUGAGUAAAGUAAAUUGGAGUGCCACGCGGAAAGUGAUUUUUAAAGUUUUCCAGCAAUGUUCCGCGGAGUACCAAGCUGGUCAAAUUUUGUGGGAUUUGGAUGAUGUUUAAGGGCGAACAGCAUCUUUGACGGGAAAAUCAGAGAGUACGGUUAGGCGCAUAGUUAAUGAAGGUUUUCAGAAUAAUGGAAAAUUUAGAAUUCCUGGGAAACACAGGCAAGGCCAACCAAAGAAAGAAAUGGAUAAUUUUAAUAUUUGUGCUCUGCGCCAAAAAAUAAAUUUUUUUUACACGGUACAAAAAGAGGUCACAAAAUGUUCGCAAUCUCUAAACAUCAAACAAAAGACAUUUUCAAAGGAAAGCGUUACAUCAUAGUCCAUGCUGGAAGCGAAAAGGGGUUUGUUUCAAACUGCCUCCUCAUAUUCACUGACAGAAAUAAUUUGGAAGACUACCAUUCAGAAAUGAAUGCGCAUAACUUUACGAAGUGGAUUAAAGAAAAACUAAUACCAAAUCUUCAUGAGCCUUCCAUUAUAGUUAUGGACCUGUACCAAGACAAUUGGUUAUUUGCUUAGGCGAUAAUAGCAACAGUGAAGAUGAUGUGAGUGAUGUCAGCGUUACUUAUGAAGGUGGCAACGAAACUUUUCUUAACAUCGAAUAUUUGGAAUCCGAUGAUGAAAGUGAUUAAUAAAUGUCCUUAUUAAAUAUGUA